GUUGGCCCAGAAACAUUAAAUGAGAGUAGAUGAAGUCUGAGAGCAAGUCAAACAGGAGUGCCCAGAGUGAUUGUUAUCCAACAGUUAGCCUUUGUUUCAAAAGUCACUGAAACCUGCAGCUGACAGUCUUGUGCUCAUAACUACAGCACAGUGGGUAGAAAAGGCACGGGUGACUUAAAAGUCCCACUUACCCGAGAGAAGGUUGGGAUAGCUACAAUAUAGCACAUAAGAGUAAGCCACAAAGGACGUUGUAUGAUCAGUGUGUGGAGAACAUUUUGAGAAGCAUGCUACAUAAGUAAGUCUUUUAAACUUCACCAACUUGGGUACAGUUGAAGAAUCCAAAAGAAGCUGAGGACAAUUGGUUGUGGUGCCUAUUAGCAAGCCAAGCCACAUGCGGCCCUGUAGGCUCUCUCAUCUUUAAAGGUCUAGAAGAAACAAUGGACUGUGAAGUGAAUUGAAGCAGCAACACAUUUGAAGCCUAGAGUCUCCCGAUUCUCCUGUCACUGGCCCAUAGGUGCUGGAAGGCUUCCUGUAUUUGAGCCAGGUGGCCUACACAAUGUCUACCACAGCUAUAUACUUGACAGCUCCUGGGAGUCAAGUCAGUGCUUCUAUUUAAGAACACGAGUGGCAUUCCGGUGUUGCAUUUCAGUUUGUUUGUUCUCUGCCCGGAGUUUAAGACUAUAAGCCUUCUGGAAAGAGUAUGUGGAUUUCUGAAGGUUUCUAUUUUGCUCGACAUCAGAAAGCUCUGAAUAGAACUGUGAGUGUUUGGAUACAGGAUUUGAGAAAAGCAUCAUCUGCUCAAGUAAGUAUCAUCAGCUCUAAGAUUCAUACUUCAGUCUUUAGUAAAAACAAACCAGGCUUCUUAUGUUUCUCAUUUUAAAUUUUCCCUCUUUUCCUUUGUGUUUAACUUGGUUUUAUUUAUACUUCCUCAUAAACAUAUAUUUUCAUCUUAAACUAUUCAAUCUCUGUGAGUAGACCUCGUAUUUUUCCCUCACUGAAUUCUAAGAUGGCCGUGACUGCAAAAUGUGAUCAUUUUCAUUUUAAUACUUUAUGAAUUUCUACUUGUUUGCUGUUUGGAUAAUUUACAUGUGCAACAUUUGGUUCUUAAUCACGUUGUCUACUUUGAUUCAAAAGUAAAUUAUAUACCAUGCCACAUAUAUUAUUAAUUUAAUGUAUAUAAAUUUAAACAUAUAAUAUUCAGUACAGUGUGUCUAGAAAGUAUAUAUGCAUAUAUUCCAUAUGUAUUUUUCAUAUACUACAUAUGUAUUGCAAUGUGAGCGUGCAAUAUCAACACUGUGCCAGGAGUAAAGUGGUAUCCAAUAUGUGUUGUCUUGAGUUGACUGGAAAUAUUUCAGCUAUGUCAACAAAUAAGAAAAAUACCUAGUUUUAAGAACUUUAUCAAUUUCUUUAAAAAAUCUUACUAUGGGAAUCAACAAUUCAUUUUUAUUUCUUUGCUGCCUGCAUUGAUAAGAAACUUUUAUGAGUUUAUGGACUGACCAUGCCAUUUCUUCAAAAUGCCUAGUAAAGGUGAGAAUACCAGUAUGUGCCUAUACUAGAAAUAAAAAUUUUAAGCAGUGAAAUGAGUUUUGGGUAAAGCUUUAUGUGUGAGAUAUAUGACUCAGAAGCAACUAGCUGAAAAAUGAACAAGAUAUAUGGAGCAAAAGUGGAGAGCCAGAAAUUCUGAAGGAAACAUGUACACAGUUGGGAAAGAGAACAUGAAUAUUGUUGGUACAGUUUGAAACAUACAUGUCCCAGGUAAGACUACUCCUGCCUGGGUCCUCUCAUUCCUUAUUCCCAAAGCAAUUGGUUGGCCUUGUAAAAUACAUUUACAAUGUCUCCAAUUAUUUGGUUAUUUAUCUCUCCCACAUAUUAAGGAGAUAUAUUAAGGAGGUUGAGGGCUUUCGUAUAUUUUAUCUUAAUGCCUGAUACAGUAACUUAGACUUUGGGCAAAUGAAAAUAAACUAUGGAUUUUGUAAGAAGAAAAGACAGAAUGAUAGAAUUACUAAAGAAAAAGGGAACAAAUGCAUAGAAAGUAUAUUCCUAGGAAAACUUAUCCUGUUGAAGCUACCACAAUUUCUUAGGUUCUUUAAUUCCAGAAUUAAUGCAUUUCUCACCAAACAGAGCAGGAGGAAUUACAAAUGUAUUAAAAUCUUAUAGUCAUGUCUAAACUUGAAACUUUGUCCCCAGAUUUCAUUUUUAAUUCACCAGAGGAUAGCCUUUUCUAAAAGAGAUAUUCUGGUAUUUUAAAAUAGUAUUUUAAAAUAGACUAGAGCUUGGACGAAUGAAAACAUCUUUUGAGUGUAAUGUCUUUUGUCAUUUAAGAGCAGGUCUGUUGAUUUCAGUCAUUCCUAUGUAGAGCUAAUUCAUCUAAGUUCGGGAAAAAGUGUUCAGGACUUUUUAUGCAUUUAUGUAAUAAAUGUCAUUAAAGAAGACGUUGUACUUGCCUCCUGAAAGUAUUCAUUGUUGAGAUAAGUGUUCCUACCAUAACGGUCUCAUAAAUAAUCAAACGUAGCACACAAAACAUUCUUCUUUGGAAAUGGCAGAAUGUGUAUCAUUUAUGAUAUUGCUGGCAGCUACUGUAUGGUUUAGUUAUUAAAGCUGAUAUAAACCUAAUAUAGACUUUUCUAUAUAAGCUAGCUUGGGGGUAUAGUUUAGUCAUACAGCACGUGUCAAACCUGUAUGACGUUUUGGCUUCAGUCCUAGCACCACAAAAGAAAUAAACACCAUGUAUAUUUUGAUAGAAUUCUAGCUUCCUUUUAUACCUUGGUUGUACUAGUCUUCAAAAUGACAUCUUAUUUUGGCAUUUGACUGGAGCUGGCAUAUUAUAUUAUAUCCUACUUUCAAGUCUCAACCACAUGUAUGACAAGAAAUGCAUGUUUGACAGUAACCACAAUGCCAAACAGUUCAGAAUUGUAUGAAAUCAGAGUCACAGACAUAAAUCUGCACACAUCUUAAAUUCCUCAGCGUCUCAACCACAAAGGACUUCCCUGUGAUAUUCCAUGUCCCCAGAUAAUUUCAAAAGUCAGCCCACAGAGUCACAAGGACAUAUUACUUUGAGGUAUUUUCCACAGUCAAAAAUUUUGUUCAUGAAAAAAAAAUUUGUUCAUGGCCUUUAAGGAUCAGAACUCUAAUCUAUUUUGAAAGAAACUAAUGCUUCAAAGGUAGGUUUACAACCUCAAAAGCUCAAAAUAAAAAACACUGAUAUCAAGAGAUAAAUAUACUAUUUCGUGAUACAAUCUCAGAUAGUCUAAAACAUUUUGAAGGGAAAGCCUGACAGUUCUCUCGGCAGGGACCAAAUCAUAAUCAGAGAGCUAAUUGGUGAUUUUUAAAAUAAGUAAAGAGGGUUCAUAUAUUAAGUAAACACAGCACAAAAGUAGAAUCAGAGUCUAGCUUUGCAAUGUCCUGAUUUCUCUUGACAUUUCAGAGUGAAGUUUAGUGACCUACCAGAUUCACAAGGCAGCUAAGGGUACCGUUUAUGACAUUCAUAUUUGCCUGUGUGGCUGAUUAAUUUCCACUCCAAUCGACAGGCUAAUGUAUAAUUCUCAGAUACCUACUUAGUCUAAAGUCACAGAUGUUCUCUAUGCUACUGUUCUUCAAAGGCAUCACAGAUUCAUUCUUGGAUUAUUUUUGUUUUUGUUGUUAUUAUUUUUCCAGUCAUAUAAUCACUAUCAAAGUAAACAAGGUCUCCAUCAUUUUUAAAACUAAGUUUUUACUUGGCAUACAAAAAAUGUUUCACUGUGACAUCUUCACAGAGAUACAGACACAGGCACAAACACAAGCAUAAAUUUAAGUAGCCUUUCAUAUCCCUCUGGCAAGGUCCAAACUGGUCUACUUACUGCAAAUAUGUUCAGCUGGACAACUUCAAUUGUUACUAUGUAAAUCUAUAACAAACUCUUUUAUUUACAUGAUUUUUUAUCUGCCCAAUGUCAUAUAUACUCAAACUCUCAUGGCUCCUAGUACACUCAAAAAACUGAAAUUAUUUGUCUCAUAUUCAAAUUCUUUCAUAUCUGCGUCUAAUUGUUUUUCUCGUUCAUACGUUCUUUACUUUAUUGAGUGCCAUUUGCUCCCUUGUACUUCCUGAAAUCCAGCCUUUGGCCACUCCUGAAAUGAAGAAAACAUCUGCCUCCUCCGGGAAAAAAUCUUUGUGACAGCCCAACUGUGAAAAGGGCACUUUAAUUAUUUAGCUUCACUUCCAUUAGUGUAUCUGAAAACGAUUGUUUGUUCAGCAUUCCACGUAAAAGUACUUAUGCCAAAGAACAACACAUUUUCUUACUAUCAAGGGGACUCAAGAAACAUGUUUAGAACUGACUCCGUUUGCUUGAAGGUAAAAUUGCUGUAAUUCUUAUAGGCUAAGAUUGAACUUAAUAAAUACUGAUCUUAAUAUGAUUGAGCUCUUUUUAUGUCUUGGGAUAUUUAUUGGUUUUUAAUGUCUUUUAGGGCUUUGGAAUGGUUUCAUCAAAUUAUGAUACCCUUCAAUAUUAUAUUUUCCUUCGCCAUUUAAUAUUACAGGUGAAAAUACGUUCCAAUUCUUGUUGAUCUCACAGUCAAUCUCAAGGUAUAGUGCAAAUUUAUAACCUAAGUCAUCCCAUGAAAGACAGAGACUCUAAUCGAGGUGUUUAACUCCAGCAAUGAUAUAAAAAUGAAGAAGCUGAGCAAAGAAUGUGUCCCUUCAGUGUGACAAAGGGUUUGACUGCAGCGAUGAUAUUAAAAAUAGAGAAGCUAAUCAAAGAAUGAAUUCCUGCGGUAUGACACAGGGUUAAGAAGUCGUCAGAGAUGAAAAGGCAGUGUUAUGAAGUUUACUGGAAUUGUUCAGGGAUCAGGAAGGAAACGAAAGUCUUAAGUUAGUUUAUCCACCAUUUAGCUCAUCAGGUUUCUGGUUUGUUACCAGACCUUCAUCUCAAGCUUGACUGAACAGGGGUUACCAACUGAUGACAACAGCAGUCACAACAACAAAACAGCCUACACUUGCCUACUGCAAUGAGCCACCUUGAAACAGCAAUUAGCCAAUGAAGCAAGUUACAAGAACGUCCUUCCACUGAAGUCUACAAAAUGUCCCAUUACGAGAACCUGCGAUGUUUUCUUGGAUUGUAGAUCAAAUGAUAGUUCAACUUAACUUGAAAUAGGAGCCUGCUAUCAUAAACGUACCUUGUCCUUGGGUUACUCCAUAAAAUUCAGCUGCUAUCCUGGCGGCCUCCUUUCGGUUGCCUUUCACGAUGUAGAAAUGACUAAGGAUGGCAAGGCUGAUUUUCACAAAAAGUUUAAAACAGAAAAGGGAGAGUAUCGUAAAAUAGACAUUGGAUAGCUGUUGAGCAAACGGCCGGCUCUCUUCUAACACCGACAUUGCUGAAGAGGAAUCUGCCGCGGUGCUAAUGCCAGCCGAGUCUCAACUGUGCCUGGCUCUGUUCCGGGGUGCUCUUGAACAGCUGGUCCUCGGGAAAGAAAAUAUCAACUGGUAAUGAUGUCUACGGCUCAAAUUAUUUAUACCGUCCAUAAAAGUUCUUCACUAGCUCCUAUUGGUCUGACAAUAUUCCAUGGAAGCAACCAAAUCACGUUUCGCAAGCCUCCUGACUUUCCAUUCUCCAUAUAAAAUGAUACACCGUCCUUCUGUUCUGGGCUGCAGGAGUCAAGUAUUGAAAUAAAUAAUUCUGAUGGUUUCCUUUUUUGGUAUGUAAUUAUCAACAACUGCAGGGCGGCGAGAUGGCUCAUAAAAGCUCCUGGCAUCAAGCCUGGAGACCUGAUUUACAUCACUCGGACCCACACAGUGGAAGGAGGGUGCCAACUUCUGUUUGUUCUCUGAAUUCCAUACACACACACAUACACACUAAAUGUAAUUUUAAAAGGAAAUUGAAAGUUUUGUGUAUACUAUACACAUGAUUCAUGUAAAAAUAUAUAUCAUACUAAGAGAAGUUCAUUGUUUUAGCUCAAGGGUUUAAAUUGGUUGACCUUGAGCUAAAUCAACAAAUAGUCCAUGGAUAGGACCUGAAUAAGGACCCAUUGAAGUAACUGAAUACAUAGACUUUAUGUUAUGCAAGAGUUUAUAUUUUUUAUAAAUUAAACUGCCUCAACAUGUAUUAAUGGACUUAAACUGUCAGGGUAACCUUUUCAAACACCUACCAGCUGUUUUCGAUAUGCUGAGGAGACCAAGAAGUACUAACAGUGUCUGUGACUUGUGCAGCACGGUUUUAGAGGAGAAAUGAAAGAACUCAGAUAGAUACAAGACAAGGCAUCAUGGCUGCAUACACAAAAAGAGGAAAUGAGAGGACUUCCUGGGUAUGAGGGAUGGUACACAAAAGAAUGAUCAAACAAACAUAACUGUUUCACAAAAAACUGCAAAACCAAACAAACUAAACUUAAUCAUAGGUCAGUAAUGAUCAACCUAAAAUGUAUUUCUAGACCUAUAAUCUUGGAUAACUAUGACUCAUUUUUUAAUGAAAUACUGCAUAUGGGAUUUUAUGCAUACAGGAGUAGUCACAUAUAAAUGACAGUUUAAAAGAGAAAUAGAAUCAAUUACUUAGAAAAAUGAUGUACAGCACUUUGUUUCAUAAAUUCCAUUUUCUUUUAUUUCUUUUUGAAGUAAUACUUUUCCUCGCUAACAGUUGAGCAUUUAAGUGAAAGAAAAAUGCACUAAUACAAAGUACUGUAAUAGUGUUUACAUCACCAGAUUUAGGGUCUGCUCAUUUCAGAUCAUUUCUUAAUUCUGCUAAGUUUCAAAGUAACAAGACACAAACAAACAACAAUGACCCUGGCUGAAUAGGUAUUAUAUUCGUGAUGUGGCAUACUGAUGAGUGUGACUUGUUAUUUUCAUGCUGUGUAUCUUAACAAAAGAGUCAGCCUUUCACCAAAUAUUCCUAAGAAAAUGGAGAUAUGACGGUUGAAUACAUGUGCCAUUUGGGACAUUGUAUAAACUACUGUUGAGGCGCUGAAGACAAAGUGACCACAUGGUCCUCUCUACCACCGAUAUGGAAACUGUGUCAAGCAAAUGAACUCACUGAAAUUAUGUUCCGGUGAGUCUUCUGUCUGGCAUGGUGGUGCCUGAGCACACACUGGAAUCGAGCCUGUGGACAGCUGGCUCAUCACAAUGCUCUGAGUCAUGGCGUGACUUCCAGUGCUUUGGAAUCAGAAAUAAACCUCCCUUAGUCACAUCUAAGUGCCUGUCUAAGGUUUCGCCCCUUUCUCUUACCAGUAAAUGCUAUUAUAAAUAAUUCCCUGCACAGCAGCUACUCAGCAGCCUAAAUUCCUUAGGGGCUAAGAGACACUUCCAUUCACUAACGCUGUCGUCAUUAGCUCAACAAGCUUAAAUCCCUCCGGCUUUGCUAGGAGAAAACACUACUACACAAUAUUUAGGAUUUUAUUUCCAGAUGUCAAAUUUAGGUUUUUUUCAUAAAUCCCUUCAUUCAUUCGCACAUCUUUGUUUAAUGACAUGUUAUAAAAUUUGUCACCUGAUAGUUUCUUAAUUUGAUGGUCUAAGAAAAUAGCAUGAUAAAUGAACUCAGAAAUACAAGUCAGAUGCUAACUUCCACAUAAAAGACUCCAAAACGACAUCUUAAAGGAUUGGUAAUAUAUAAAAGACCAUGAAAAGUAUCUGUACAUCCAUUUUCUUGUCUUUAGAAUUUUUUCCCCUGGCUCAAAUAAAAUUUUUGCUUUUUCCUCUUUCA